ACGUAGGGUGCAAGCGUUGUCCGGAAUUACUGGGUGUAAAGGGUCCGCAGGCGGGCAGACAAGUCGGUGGUGAAAUCUCUUCGCUCAACGGAGAGACUGCCAUCGAUACUGUUUGUCUUGAGUUCGAGAGAGGAUAAUGGAAUUCAUGGUGUAGCGGUGAAAUGCGUAGAGAUCAUGAAGAACACCGGUAGCGAAGGCGGUUAUCUGGCUCGAUACUGACGCUCAGGGACGAAAGCGUGGGUAGCAAACAGGA
rnacentral:rRNA from 1 species